rnacentral:rRNA from 1 species
UACGGAGGAUGCGAGCGUUAUCCGGAUUUAUUGGGUUUAAAGGGUGCGUAGGUUGUUUUUUAAGUCAGCGGUGAAAGUUUGUGGCUCAACCAUAAAAUUGCCGUUGAAACUGGAGGGCUUGAGUAUGUUUGAGGCAGGCGGAAUGCGUGGUGUAGCGGUGAAAUGCUUAGAUAUCGCGCAGAACUCCGAUUGCGAAGGCAGCGUACCGGCGCCAGACUGACGCUGAGGCACGAAAGCGUGGGGAUCGAACAGG